rnacentral:rRNA from 1 species
AUUGAACGCUGGCGGCAUGCCUUACACAUGCAAGUCGAACGGCAGCACGGGGGCAACCCUGGUGGCGAGUGGCGGACGGGUGAGUAAUGCAUCGGAACGUGCCCUGAAGUGGGGGAUAACGCAGCGAAAGCUACGCUAAUACCGCAUAUUCUGUGAGCAGGAAAGCAGGGGAUCGCAAGACCUUGCGCUUUGGGAGCGGCCGAUGUCGGAUUAGCUAGUUGGUGGGGUAAAGGCCUACCAAGGCGACGAUCCGUAGCGGGUCUGAGAGGAUGAUCGCCACACUGGGACUGAGACACGGCCCAGACUCCUACGGGAGGCAGCAGUGGGGAAUUUUGGACAAUGGGCGAAAGCCUGAUCCAGCCAUGCCGCGUGAGUGAAGAAGGCCUUCGGG